rnacentral:ncRNA from 1 species
ACUUGAAAAGAGCAAACCUAGCGUGAGCUAGGGACGCAAAGCUACGGGUCUCCAAAUAAGGAUGAUGGCCGAGUUACUAAA